CAGUCGCCACGGUAAAACAGAGGGUGCGAGCGUUAAUCGGAUUUACUGGGCGUAAAGCGUGCGUAGGCGGCUUUUUAAGUCGGAUGUGAAAUCCCUGAGCUUAACUUAGGAAUUGCAUUCGAUACUGGGAAGCUAGAGUAUGGGAGAGGAUGGUAGAAUUCCAGGUGUAGCGGUGAAAUGCGUAGAGAUCUGGAGGAAUACCGAUGGCGAAGGCAGCCAUCUGGCCUAAUACUGACGCUGAGGUACGAAAGCAUGGGGAGCAAACAGGAUUAGAUACCCCCGUAGUCCCUGUCUCUUAUAC
rnacentral:rRNA from 1 species